CAGCCAUUUGGGGGCUUAUUUGCUUUGUUUUCUAAUUGCUUCUCAACAUUUAGUUUGAGAGGAUAGAAAUUAGGCCAUUUUUUUCAUCUGUUAUAGGACUGGCCACACAGUAGUGCUUCAGAAACUAGUUGCUCAUUUAUUGCUUGGUCCAUUCUCUUGAUUUUCUUUUGCCUGGGAGGAAACACUGCACUGACCUUUCAACCAAAUAUUUGGGUGCUGCAAUUUUUUUUUUUUUUUUUUUGAGACGGAGUCUCGCUCUAUUGCCCAGGCUGGAGUGCAGUGGCGCGAUCUUGGCUCACCACAACCUCUGCCUGCUGGGUUCAAGCAAUUCUCCUGCCUCAGCCUCCCGAGUAGCUGGGACUACAGGUAUGUGCCACUAUGCCCGACUAAGUUUUUGUAUUUUUAGUAGAGACGGGGUUUCACCAUGCUGGCCAGGCUGGUCUUGAACUCCUGACCUUGUGAUCCACCCGACUCAGCCUCCCAAAGUGCUGGGAUUACAGGCUUGAGCCACCACGCCCAGCCGCAGGCUGUUGCAAUAAUUUUUUUUUUUUUUUUUUUUUUUUUUUUGCGACGGAGUCUCGCUCUGUCACCCAGGCUGGAGUGCAGUGGCGCGAUCUCAGCUCACUGCAAACUCCGCCUCCCAAGUUCAAGCAAUUCUCCUGCCUCAGCCUCCUGAGUAGCUGGGAUUGCAGGCGCCCGCCACCACGCCCAGCUAAUUUUUGUAUUUUUAGUAGAGACAGGGUUUCACCAUGUUGGUCAGGCUGGUCUUGAACCCCUGACCUCGUGAUCCACCGACCUCGGCCUCCCAAAGUGCUGGGAUUACAGGCAUGAGCUAUCACGCCCAGCUGCAAUAUUUUAAAUAUAUUUUAGUAUAAAGUGAAGGGCCUCUGACGUCCAUCUAGUAAGAAUCGGGCCACAUAUUCAUAGACUGACAGUUUCAAUCUUUGCAGACUUUGUCCUUUGAAGUUUGCUUUGCUUUCUCUUUUCACACUUUGGUAGCAUCUUUCAGUUCUCUGCUGCUCCAGAGAGGAACAUUAUGGCCUCUUGAUUGGAUGGAUAAAGGGUCCAGCCCUGACCCAUUGGCUGCUAGAAGGGCCAGGGGCAAAAAGAUGACCCCAUUAACCACCUUUUCCACCUGUACUUCAGUCUUACUUGCAAAUUGUUUUUUCUCAUGUCUUUUCAUCAUAGUCUAUACAAUCAUCUUGUCAACAAGUUAUCGUAAAAAUUGUUGAAAAGGAUCUAUUAAUUCUCAGCCCAGAGGCUGUCCUUUGGAUUUCUUUGUGACUAUUGCUUUGGUCUUACAUGUGGCUGAUAUCAGCUUGUUUUGAAAAUCCAAACACUAGUCCACAUUUUCACCUAGUAAAGUCAUUGAUGCCUUCUUUGUGGCCAGUUAU
rnacentral:lncRNA from 1 species